GACGAACGCUGGCGGCGUGCUUAACACAUGCAAGUCGAACGGAAAGGCCCUGCUUUUGCGGGGUGCUCGAGUGGCGAACGGGUGAGUAACACGUGAGUAACCUGCCCUUGACUUUGGGAUAACUUCAGGAAACUGGGGCUAAUACCGGAUAGGAUCUCCUGCUGCAUGGUGGGCGUUGGAAAGUUUCGGCGGUUGGGGAUGGACUCGCGGGUUAUCAGCUUGUUGGGGGGGUAGUGGCUUACCAAGGUUUUGACGGGUAGGCGGCCUGGGAGGUGGAACGGGCACAAUGGGACUACGGUACGGCGCAGACGCCUACGCGAGGCAGCAGUGGAGAAUAUGGCACAAUGGGCGGAAGCCUGAGGCAGCGACGCCGCGUGCGGGAUGACGGCCUUCGGGGUGUAAACCGCUUUCGCCUGUGACGAAGCGUGAUUGACGGUAAUGGGUAAAGAAGCACCGGCUAACUACGUG
rnacentral:rRNA from 1 species